rnacentral:rRNA from 1 species
UACGUAGGGGGCAAGCGUUGUCCGGAAUUAUUGGGCGUAAAGCGCGCGCAGGCGGUCAUUUAAGUUUGGUGUUUAAUCCCGGGGCUCAACCCCGGGUCGCACUGAAAACUGGGUGACUUGAGUACAGAAGAGGAGAGUGGAAUUCCACGUGUAGCGGUGAAAUGCGUAGAUAUGUGGAGGAACACCAGUGGCGAAGGCG